AGACAACAAAAUGUUUAAUAUUAUUAUUUUGUCACCUUAGGUCGAUCGGUAUCUCACGUUUUUAAUUUAUUAAGAAUUUCAUUUCCUAAGUUUUUCUAGGUCACACCCAUUAUUUUUCCUGGGCCAUUAGCUCAGGUGGUUAGAGCGCACCCCUGAUAAGGGUUAGGUCCCUGGUUCAAGUCCAGGAUGGCCCAUAUCUCUAUGUUGGGGGUAUAGCUCAGUUGGUAGAGCGCCUGCUUUGCAAGCAGGAUGUCAGCGGUUCGAGUCCGCUUACCUCCACUGAUUACCACCUCUUCCAUAACCGGUAGAAAGGAAAUGUUUUGAGUUGUGAUCAAAUUCUGAAAGAAUCUAGCUUCCUAAUGAAAUCAUUAAGAUGCUGGACUCAUUGAAUUAAUUUCAUUGUUUUCAGAGAACCUUGACAACUGCAUAGAUUAUUUUUAAAGACAAUAGGCAUUUUUAAUGAUGCAGAUUUAUUAUUUGUGCGAAUGCAUUAAAUAACAAUUCUAUUAAGCUGAUGCUUCAAUUUUUGAAGUUAUU
rnacentral:tRNA from 1 species